GAUGAACGCUGGCGGCGUGCCUAAUACACGCAAGUCGAGCGAAUGGAUUAGGAGCUUGCUCUUAUGAAGUUAGCGGCGGACGGGUGAGUAACACAUGGGUAACCUGCCCAUAAGACUGGGAUAACUCCGGGAAACCGGGGCUAAUACCGGAUAAUAUUUUGAACUGCAUGGUUCAAAAUUGAAAGGCGGCUUCGGCUGUCACUUAUGGAUGGACCCGCGUCGCAUUAGCUAGUUGGUGAGGUAACGGCUCACCAAGGCAACGAUGCGUAGCCGACCUGGGAGGGUGAUCGGCCACACUGGGACUGAGACACGGCCCAGACUCCUACGGGAGGCAGCAGUAGGGAAUCUUCCGCAAUGGACGAAAGUCUGACGGAGCAACGCCGCGUGAGUGAUGAAGGCUUUCGGGUCGUAAAACUCUGUUGUUAGGGAAGAACAAGUGCUAGUUGAAUAAGCUGGCACCUUGACGGUACCUAACCAGAAAGCCACGGCUAACUACGUGCCAGCCGCCGCCGUAA
rnacentral:rRNA from 1 species